UUAUAGCCCUGAUAGUAAUGAAAAUCCUUUUAUUUUUUCUUUACAACAUAAUAGCAGAAAAUAAAAGAUUGUAGUGGAUAGCAGGAAACAGC
rnacentral:sRNA from 1 species